GAGGCAGCAGGUAUUCAUGCAUUCAGAACACACACUGCCUGAGGACAGCCUGAGGAACCUGAACCCUGAGUUAAAAGUGAGCAGAAGACAGAGCGAGAUUGGGCUUAUGGGAUGAACCAUUAAUCUUCUUUUUACUCACAUCUACAAUCUGCGGACUGAAACCUUUACCCACUCUCAAGGGGAAGAAAACUGGCCACAUUAAGUUAAUUCAACUGGCUUCGCAAAUCAAUAUUGCAAAAAAAUAUCAAAAAGGUUGCAAAAUAUUUU